rnacentral:misc_RNA from 1 species
GUUUAGUGUUAGCUCGAUUAAGAGCUACCUUGCGGAGUUCAUCGCGACAUUGUUGUUCGUGUUUGCGGGUGUUGGAUCAGCAAUUGCUUAUGGUAAGCUGACAAAGGACGCCCCCCUCGAUCCUGCCGGCCUCGUCGCAGUCGCUCUCGCCCAUGCCUUCGCCCUCUUUGUCGGUGUCUCCAUGGCCGCCAACGUCUCCGGUGGUCACCUCAACCCCGCCGUCACUCUCGGCCUUGCUGUCGGCGGCCACAUUUCCAUCCUCACCGGCAUUUUCUACUGGAUUGCACAACUUCUCGGCUCAACCGUCGCUUGCUUCCUCCUCAGCUUCACCACCGGCGGUCUCGCCAUCCCCACCCACGGUGUCGGGUCCGGUAUGAACGAGCUACAAGGGGUGGUGAUGGAAAUUAUCAUCACUUUCGCGCUUGUUUACACCGUUUAUGCGACCGCGGCCGACCCGAAGAAAGGC